AGAAACAGACAGACAGAGAAGAGAACAGAGAGUGAUGAAAAGGAAAAAUAAAGGACAACAAUGAAAGAAGACGAUGAGUUAACGACACAGGAAUAAAUGUGUGAAAGUAGCAGUGGAGUGGAGCUGUGAGUAAGCUGCUGGCUGAGGGCCUGGUGGGCUAGAUUUGACCCCACAGAGGAGGAGAGUGCACAGUCCAGGUCUAUAAUUAGAAAACACACAGUGCCACUAAUCCUUACUGAAUGAUUAAGCAGCAAACAGCAAGUUUACAGCCAGGAACCCACAACGGAGCGGCUGUGGAGAGUCACUGUGGUUUUCCCACAGAGUGAAAAAUCUGACAGAGGGAACAGUUGGGUUCUGCUUCGUGGCCAGAUUCAGAAUAACACACAGUAAACGUGGAGGACUCCAGCCAUGACGCUUUGCAGCCCGAGGAUGAGGUGGCAGCCUACAUGGAGUUUGGGUCCUUUGGAGGUUUGAUGGUGGUGGAAGGAGCAUGCUAACAUGUUUCCUAACCUGGCAGUGAUUGAAUGUUUUCACCAUCCAGUCAAAGAGACAGAGAACCAGCUUCAUGACAGCAAAGUGUCUCAGCCACCAGUAACGUCACCUCACAACAAGAUGGUCCUUGAAAUGAACCCACCACGGAGCUCAUGGAGACGAGUCCCCCACCCUCAGUGUCGACCCCUGGGGUCAUAAACACUCCAGCCUCACCACGACUCCAUCCGACCCCAUCAUACACGACCCCGACCAACCUUCAGGUCCUCUUCAUCCCGACAGACGACCUCUCGACCACCAUCAUCCCAUCACACUCCACCCUCUCCUCGUCACCCAAUAAAUCUAC